CCAGUCACUGCUUUUAAUAAACUCUUUGGCUACAAAGAUGAAACAGGCAGACAACAGCAACAAAGAAGAUAUUAUUAACAUAAUUUCAUGUAAUUGGAUAGAAGGGAGGAAAAAGAAAGACCCCCAAUGAGUGUGACCUACAAGAGUCUUCCAUGAAGAUCAACAUCUAAGUUUCCCUUGAGAGACACCAAAUCAAAUCUCAAGGAGUGGCCUCCGGAACACCAUUAGGAUGAAGUGAGCCAUUUAACCCUAUGGACUAACCCACCCAAGAGCUUACAGGAGGAGAAGCAGAGCUGGCAAUUCUCAGACAUUAAGACACUCAGCUGCCUACACUCAAGCUCCUUCGAGGUCAGAGAAAGCUAUGUUGCAGAAAAAGAACGUGAGUCCAAAUUAGCAAUUUGGCAGCAUUCUUCAAAAAGAAAAAUGUAACCUCAGGACUUUCCCAGUGCUCUCAAUUCAGUCUGCCAGGACGUGUCAAUGGAUUGUAGUCUUAUUUGUACCCAGGGCAAGGGACGUCACUCCCCACAGCUUCCCCUUUCCUUGCAUAUAUAUAAAAAUUAAGGAAAUUUUUUUUCCAUCUUCAAUUUUGUGUGUGGGGGGCUGGGGGGUGGGGCACGUCUCUCUCUGGCUAAUUGCUGAUUUUCUCUUAGCCCAAGG
rnacentral:lncRNA from 1 species